UGGGGAAUUUUGGACAAUGGGCGAAAGCCUGAUCCAGCAAUGCCGCGUGUGUGAAGAAGGCCUUCGGGUUGUAAAGCACUUUUGUCCGGAAAGAAAUGGCUCUGGUUAAUACCUGGGGUCGAUGACGGUACCGGAAGAAUAAGGACCGGCUAACUACGUGCCAGCAGCCGCGGUAAUACGUAGGGUCCAAGCGUUAAUCGGAAUUACUGGGCGUAAAGCGUGCGCAGGCGGUUGUGCAAGACCGAUUUGAAAUCCCCGAGCUUAACUUGGGAAUUGCAGUGGUGACUGCACGGCUAGAGUGUGUCAGAGGGGGGUAGAAUUCCACGUGUAGCAGUGAAAUGCGUAGAGAUUUGGAGAAAUACCGAGGGCGAAGUCAGCCCCCUGUGAUAACACUGACGCUCAUACACGAAGGCUUGGUUGGCAAACAGA
rnacentral:rRNA from 1 species